rnacentral:tRNA from 1 species
GACGUUUCCCCUGGUCAGACGUGUGUUUCUGCCUUGACACGGAAGAGGUCACUGGUUCAAACCCAGUAUCGUCCACCA